UGAGAACAUAGCAGGUGAAUUGCAUGCACGCUUACAAACACACAUGAUUUAAAUAUAGGCCAGGCCAAAGGCCUGGACUUGAUGCAGCUUUCAACUUUACAGCUCCUAACUUGCAGGAAUGGCGGGGAGUGUAAUGAAUGAAUGCAAAACAUGCUUACAGACACAAACAUGAUAUGAGUUUAUUUUACAGGGUAAAGGUGGACCACAGGUUGCUUUGUUUCUGCUUAGCAACUACUGAGGAGAAGAUUUCCACUAGAGAAGGACCCAGAAAAGGAGCGGAGAUUACCUAAGCAUGAAGUGUUUUCAAGUGGGGGCUGGUGUUUUAUUGCUGGACCACCUAGAGGACAUGAGGUUGUUGUCGGAUUUGCUGAGUCAGGGGGCGGCUAGAGAGGGUCAGAGCGAAGGUAGUGGACCUGGGAAUGGUGUAGUGACGUCUUUGGAAGACGUCAAAAGGGGGAAUUGUGGAAUUACAGGGAUUAUUUUACAUAACCAUCAUCUUAUCAUUGCAUUAAUUAUCAUUUCAUCAAAGUGUUUAUUGAAGCUGCUGGCAUUAUGUUAUAAUUUAUAUUAUAGGGGUUAUCCUAAUCAAAUAUUAACAUGUUUAUUACAGGUGCAGUUAUAACUACUUUAAAAUGAUUGAGUUAAAUAUAUAUGUAUCAUAACUCAUAUGCUGAGUAUAUUGGUAGAGUAAAAUAGUAGCUGAGUAAAGGCCUGAAUGUAUUCAGCUUCUUGUGGUAUUUGAGUUUGCUUAGUUACAGGUGACGGAAGGAUGUCCAGUCCAUGGUGACCUCAAAAGCCUUAGGUCAUCACCAUAUUCGGAAGAGUAUGCCACAAGGAGGAACCUCUAUGUUGCAUUUAAUUCUUAAAAUACAUGAAUGUUCUGUACAUGCAAAUUAUGUGUUUGUAAGCGCAAGAAGGGGCGUUACAAUACCCUGAUGUUAUAAAAGCAAUCUAGAGUGUAUUUUGGGUAGAGAUGUACAACUGCUUUGCAGUUUGCACCUCUCCACGCUGCGUGCAUUCAUUAAAAUCAAUUGUUUGAUUGACC
ensembl:lncRNA